rnacentral:rRNA from 1 species
UACGUAGGUGGCAAGCGUUGUCCGGAAUUAUUGGGCGUAAAGCGCGCGCAGGCGGCCUUUUAAGUCUGAUGUGAAAGCCCACGGCUCAACCGUGGAAGGCCAUUGGAAACUGAAAGGCUUGAGUACAGAAGAGGAAAGCGGAAUUCCACGUGUAGCGGUGAAAUGCGUAGAGAUGUGGAGGAACACCAGUGGCGAAGGCGGCUUUCUGGGCCAACACUGACGCUCAUGCACGAAAGCGUGGGGAGCAAACAGG